rnacentral:rRNA from 1 species
GACGAACGCUGGCGGCGUGCUUAACACAUGCAAGUCGAACGGAAAGGCCCUGCUUUUGUGGGGUGCUCGAGUGGCGAACGGGUGAGUAACACGUGAGUAACCUGCCCUUGACUUUGGGAUAACUUCAGGAAACUGGGGCUAAUACCGGAUAGGAGCUCCUGCUGCAUGGUGGGGGUUGGAAAGUUUCGGCGGUUGGGGAUGGACUCGCGGCUUAUCAGCUUGUUGGUGGGGUAGUGGCUUACCAAGGCUUUGACGGGUAGCCGGCCUGGGAGGGAGACCGGCCACAUAGGGAGUGAGAUACGGCCCGGACUCAUACGGAAGGGAGGAGUGGGGAAUAUUGCACGAUGGACGGAAGCCUGAUGCAGCAACGCCGGGUGCGGGAUGACGGCCUUCGGGUUGUAAACCGCUUUCGCCUGUGCCGAAGGGUAAGGACCGGAAAUGGGUAAGGAAGCACGGGCUAACUACGU